rnacentral:lncRNA from 1 species
GGAGAGCGGGAGCAGGCGUGACACCCACUCCCUUUUCCCAGGAUAAAUAAUUGCGAGAAACUAGUCAAUUAUCAUAAAUUAGGUGAGGUGAAAUGAUACUGUUAAAUGAUAUGGAAUGUCUAAAUCUGUCUUCACACAGCAUUCUCUACUCUGCUAUGAGCGUUGGUUAUCGACUACGAACAAUCAGAGAAGGGGCAUAAUAGUGUUGUUCUGGGACCAUAACGUGAGUCUGACUGGGGAAGAGGGGUCUCCUCAAGGGACCCGCGUGUGUAUGUGUGAGGGGCGGGGGAAUCCGAGGUCUACCAACCAGGACAAGACAUUGGCCAAUCAGAAUCCACCCAUCCCUGCACAAUUGGCACUCCUCUCGAACGGUUACAGCUGUAUGUGCAUUCACAUAGCAAGCCUACUCUUCAGCUGGGCUGGAGGUUAGGAUGACUGGUUUUAUUGUGUGUGUUUGUUGUGUAGGUGAUUGUAUGCAGGUCUGUUGGAGAUUCUGGAGUGCCUGAGCCCCUUACUACCCAGAGAGUGGAACACCUGGUUCUCUGUCUUGUUCAACCACAUGAUAUGCUUACACUUUACAACAACUCUCAUGAAUAGGCCAUUAAAAAUGGUUUAUAAAUUAAUUUGUUAGAAAUGCUUAGGAUGUUUUGUUUAGAAGUGCUUCAUUAAUGUUAACAAAUAAGAAAAUAAAGUAUUAACAGCAUGUACACUGUUUAUGAAUAUUAAUGUUUAUACAUGACAAUUUUUUUAUUUUUUUAUUAUACUGAAUGAUUUUUACAGCUGAUUCUUUGUUUUCACUACAGGUGUAGGAAGAACAACAAACCAAAUAACUUCUUUGGCAUGGAGGACUGUGUUAUGGUCACCCAAAGGUAAUCAGAUCCAUUGACGAGCUGGAACAGUGUAGGGUGCAUUAUGAAAAUCAACUGGGUCUGUGAGAACCAGACGCACAAUCAACUGGGUCUGUGAGAACCAGACCCACAUCCAUGUUGAACACUAGUUGUAAUUGUUAUGGCUCCAUGGUUAAAGAAGGGGCAGUCUGGAAUUGUCCAAGUGGCAGGGUGACUGGUCGCUUUGCUGUUUGAAUCCCAGAUUGACUCUUUAUUAAGUCUAUCUGAAGGAGUUGUGUUGAAUAUCCAUGUGAGGUUUUAAGCAGUUUUAGUAUUUAUUUGUAAUAACUGACAACAUUAUAUCAGAAAUUAUUAUGGACUCCAGUGCACUAAAUAUACAGUAGAAAUGAUCAGGUGUAGUAUUAGUAGUGAAGUAUACAUGCAUACCAUUAUGUUUAUUUAACUGAGCAAGUCCGUUAAAGAACAAAUUCUUAUUUACAAUGACAGUCUAGGUAACAGUGGGUUAACUGCCUUGUUCAGGGGCAAAACGACAGAUGUUUACCAUGUCAGCUCAAGGAUUCAAUCCAGCAACCUUUCGGUUAUUGGCCCAACGCUCUAACCACUAGGCUACAUGCCGCCCCAUGUAAUGUAUUGUAGUGAAUUUGGGGCCUAGUCCCUCAUCCAGCGACUGUCAACACAACACCUCAGUCGUUACACCAAGAGAUAUGAAACCCUUGAUGAGGUUGCUAGGUGUUGGGUUAAGGUCACUACAGUAUAAACUCAGUAUAGACCAGGUUAUGAGGUUGCUAGGUGUUGGGUUAAGGUCACUACAGUAUUAACUCAGUAUAGACCAGGUUAUGAGGUUGUAGGUGUUGGGUUAAGGUCACUACAGUAUAAACUCAGUAUAGACCAGGUUAUGAGGUUGCUAGGUGUUGGGUUAAGGUCACUACAGUAUUAACUCAGUAUAGACCAGGUUAUGAGGUUGCUAGGUGUUGGGUUAAGGCCACUACAGUAUAAACUCAGUAUAGACCAGGUUAUGAGGUUGCUAGGUGUUGGGUUAAGGUCACUACAGUAUAAACUCAGUAUAGACCAGGUUAUGAGGUUGCUAGGUGUUGGGUUAAGGUCACUUCAGUAUAGACCAGGUUAUGAGGUUGCUAGGUGUUGGGUUAAGGUCACUACAGUAUAAACUCAGUAUAGACCAGGUUAUGAGGUUGCUAGGUGUUGGGUUAAGGUCACUACAGUAUAAACUCAGUAUAGACCAGGUUAUGAGGUUGCUAGGUGUUGGGUUAAGGUCACUACAGUAUAAACUCAGUAUAGACCAGGUUAUGAGGUUGCUAGGUGUUGGGUUAAGGUCACUUCAGUAUAGACCAGGUUAUGAAGUUGCUAGGUGUUGGGUUAAGGUAACUACAGUAUUAACUCAGUAUAGACCAGGUUAUGAGGUUGCUAGGUGUUGGGUUAAGGUCACUACAGUAUUAACUCAGUAUAGACCAGGUUAUGAGGUUGCUAGGUGUUGGGUUAAGGCCACUACAGUAUAAACUCAGUAUAGACCAGGUUAUGAGGUUGCUAGGUGUUGGGUUAAGGUCACUACAGUAUAAACUCAGUAUAGACCAGGUUAUGAGGUUGCUAGGUGUUGGGUUAAGGUCACUUCAGUAUAGACCAGGUUAUGAGGUUGCUAGGUGUUGGGUUAAGGUCACUACAGUAUAAACUCAGUAUAGACCAGGUUAUGAGGUUGCUAGGUGUUGGGUUAAGGUCACUACAGUAUAAACUCAGUAUAGACCAGGUUAUGAAAUUGCUAGGUGUUGGGUUAAGGUCACUACAGUAUAAACUCAGUAUAGACCAGGUUAUGAGGUUGCUAGGUGUUGGGUUAAGGUCACUACAGUAUAAACUCAGUAUAGACCAGGUUAUGAG